UGCGCCGGGAAAGCAGGCGGGGCCCGGGCCGGGCCUGCGCCUCCCCUGCCCCGGGGCGCGGCCUGGGCCUGUGCGGCCAAAGCCGCUGAGGGGCUGGGGCCGGCCCCGCUGCGAGCCACCAGCGUCAUUCCCUCUGCUUCCUUAGCCUCUGAGAGAGGUGUCUUUGGCCAGGAAGGCUGAAGGAAACUGGAAAACUUCUGAGCCAGACAGCGGUGUGAAGCAAGCAGAUGUGGGUCCAGACAGCAAGGACUGGCAUUUUGUUAUCAGAUGGAUAAACCUGGUUACUGUCCCAAAGGUGUGGAGACACAGCCACUCUGGACUGUUUUCCCCAUCUGCCUCCCACCUGAAACAAAGACUGUUUAACUCUUCUCACUUCUGUUCAUAAAUAGUCUCAGCAGACA